rnacentral:rRNA from 1 species
CGGAUAAGCCCUUACGGGGAAAGAUUUAUCGCCGAAAGAUCGGCCCGCGUCUGAUUAGCUAGUUGGUGAGGUAAUGGCUCACCAAGGCGACGAUCAGUAGCUGGUCUGAGAGGAUGAUCAGCCACAUUGGGACUGAGACACGGCCCAAACUCCUACGGGAGGCAGCAGUGGGGAAUAUUGGACAAUGGGGGCAACCCUGAUCCAGCCAUGCCGCGUGAGUGAUGAAGGCCCUAGGGUUGUAAAGCUCUUUUGUGCGGGAAGAUAAUGACGGUACCGCAAGAAUAAGCCCCGGCUAACUUCGUGCCAGCAGCCGCGGUAAUACGAAGGGGGCUAGCGUUGCUCGGAAUCACUGGGCGUAAAGGGUGCGUAGGCGGGUUUUUAAGUCAGGGGUGAAAUCCUGGAGCUCAACUCCAGAACUGCCUUUGAUACUGAAGAUCUUGAGUCCGGGAGAGGUGAGUGGAACUGCGAGUGUAGAGGUGAAAUUCGUAGAUAUUCGCAAGAACACCAGUGGCGAAGGCGGCUCACUGGCCCGGUACUGACGCUGAGGCACGAAAGCGUGGGGAGCAAAACAGGAUUAGAUACCCUGGUAGUCCACGCCGUAAACGAUGAAUGCCAGCCGUUAGUGGGUUUACUCACUAGUGGCGCAGCUAACGCUUUAAGCAUUCCGCCUGGGGAGUACGGUCGCAAGAUUAAAACUCAAAGGAAUUUGACGGGGGCCCGCACAAGCGGUGGAGCAUGUGGUUUAAUUCGACGCAACGCGCAGAACCUUACCAGCCCUUGACAUCCCGGUCGCGGACUCCAGAGACGGAGUUCUUCAGUUCGGCUGGACCGGAGACAGGUGCUGCAUGGCUGUCGUCAGCUCGUGUCGUGAGAUGUUGGGUUAAGUCCCGCAACGAGCGCAACCCCCGUCCUUAGUUGCUACCAUUUAGUUGAGCACUCUAAGGAGACUGCCGGUGAUAAGCCGCGAGGAAGGUGGGGAUGACGUCAAGUCCUCAUGGCCCUUACGGGCUGGGCUACACACGUGCUACAAUGGCGGUGACAAUGGGAUGCGAAGACGCAAGUCCUAGCAAAUCUCAAAAAGCCGUCUCAGUUCGGAUUGGGCUCUGCAACUCGAGCCCAUGAAGUUGGAAUCGCUAGUAAUCGUGGAUCAGCACGCCACGGUGAAUACGUU